CAUUUAUCCUUCUUCUUUUAACCAUCGACUGUGUCUCUUUAAACAUCCGAAGAAAACAUUCAGAUAAAACUAAAUCCCACCACCACCAUCUCCACUGCUACCACCACCAUCUCGAUCGCCGCCAUAACCAACAGCACCACAAGUGCCACAACCACCACCACCAUCUCCAUCGCCACCAUCACCAUUUUCUUCUUCACAAUCAACAACAAUCGGUUCCACUGGUAUCCAAACGCCACCAUCGUAGCCACAGAAUCAUCAAUAAACGCAAUCUGAAUAUAUAUAUUAGGUUUAACUUGAUUCAAUUUGAAGAAGAAUUUAUGAGAUUCAUAAUUUGAAGAAUUCAUCUUCGUAAACAAUUGAACAGGAUGGUCUCAACGACCUAUGCAUAUUUAGUUCCGUAAAAAUGAAUGUACAUAAAUCUUGACGUUAGUGGUGGUGGUGUUAGUGAUGGUGGUGGAGCGAGAAAGUAUCAUCAACAUCAGGCCCCUAGAUUCUACAAUUGCACUCAGCUUACCUUGUGGCAGUACAUCAUAGUAUCAUCAACAGGCAUAGCUUGUGGAUUAUCACUGAAAAGUUUAGGAGAGGAAAACACAUAAAUAAGGAAAAUAAUUUGGUGACAAGAAAUAUGCUAAAGCAACAGUUGGAAUGAUGAAUGCUAUACGGGCAAACUAUAAAUACAAGCAUAAUGGUGGCCUUACACAAGGUUUGAAGGAGAUCAUGGUGGAGACACUAAUGUACUUUCACUUUGAUCAUGAGGAUGCCAAACAUUAGUUGUUGACACCUAAUAUUGAUGGCGGCGGCGGCGGUGGCGGCAACAACAACAAUGGUGGUGG